AUUGAACGCUGGCGGCAGGCCUAACACAUGCAAGUCGAACGGUAGCACAGAGAGCUUGCUCUCGGGUGACGAGUGGCGGACGGGUGAGUAAUGUCUGGGAAACUGCCUGAUGGAGGGGGAUAACUACUGGAAACGGUAGCUAAUACCGCAUAACGUCGCAAGACCAAAGAGGGGGACCUUAGGGCCUCUUGCCAUCAGAUGUGCCCAGAUGGGAUUAGCUAGUAGGUGGGGUAACGGCUCACCUAGGCGACGAUCCCUAGCUGGUCUGAGAGGAUGAGCAGCCACACUGGAACUGAGACACGGUCCAGACUCCUACGGGAGGCAGCAGUGGGGAAUAUUGCACAAUGGGCGCAAGCCUGAUGCAGCCAUGCCGCGUGUAUGAAGAAGGCCUUCGGGUUGUAAAGUACUUUCAGCGGGGAGGAAGGGAGUAAGGUUAAUAACCUUGUUCAUUGACGUUACCCGCAGGAGAAGCACCGGCUAACUCCGUGCCAGCCGCCGCCGUAAAAC
rnacentral:rRNA from 1 species